CAUGCCGCGAGCUAAUACAUGCAAGUCGAGCGGAGCUAUGUGGAGCUUGCUCCUUUAUGCUUAGCGGCGGACGGGUGAGUAACACGUGGGCAACCUGCCCUGCAGAUCGGGAUAACUCCGGGAAACCGGUGCUAAUACCGAAUAGUUUGCGGCCUCUCAUGAGGCUGCACGGAAAGACGGUUUCGGCUGUCACUGCAGGAUGGGCCCGCGGCGCAUUAGCUAGUUGGUGAGGUAACGGCUCACCAAGGCCACGAUGCGUAGCCGACCUGAGAGGGUGAUCGGCCACACUGGGACUGAGACACGGCCCAGACUCCUACGGGAGGCAGCAGUAGGGAAUCUUCCGCAAUGGACGAAAGUCUGACGGAGCAACGCCGCGUGAGUGAAGAAGGUUUUCGGAUCGUAAAACUCUGUUGUGAGGGAAGAACAAGUACCAACUAACUAUUGGUACCUUGACGGUACCUCACCAGAAAGCCACGGCUAACUACGUGCCAGCAGCCGCGGUAAUACGUAGGUGGCAAGCGUUGUCCGGAAUUAUUGGGCGUAAAGCGCGCGCAGGCGGUCCUUUAAGUCUGAUGUGAAAGCCCACGGCUCAACCGUGGAGGGUCAUUGGA
rnacentral:rRNA from 1 species